rnacentral:rRNA from 1 species
CACUAACUCUGGCGGCGUGCUUAACACAUGCCAGUCGAACGGAAACGCCGUGCUUUUGUGGGGUGCUCGAGUGGCGAACGGGUGAGUAACACGUGAGUACCCUGCCCCUGACUUUGGGGUAACCUCAUGAAGCAGGGGCUAAUACCACCUAGGAGCUCCUGCUGCUUGGUGGGGGUUGGCAAGAUUCGGCGGUUGGGGGUGGAAUGGCGGCUUAUCAGCUUGAUGGGGGGGUAGUGGCUUACCAAGGCUUUGACGGGUAGCCGACCUGAGAGGGUGACCGGCCACAUUACGACUGAGAGACGGCCCAGACUCGAAUGGGAGGCAACAGUGGGGAGUAGUACACAGUGGGCGGAAGCCUGAUGCAGCAACGCCGCGGGCGGUAAGACGUGCUGCGGGUAGUGAACUGCUUUCGCCUGAGACGAAGCGUGAGUGACGGUAAUGGGUGAAUAAGCACCGGCUAACUACGUG